rnacentral:rRNA from 1 species
UGCCAGCCGCCGCGGUAAUACGGGAGUGGCAAGCGUUAUCCGGAAUUAUUGGGCGUAAAGCGUUCGUAGGUGGUUUAGAAAGUUUGUAGUUAAAUCUGGUCGCUCAACGAUCAACUCGCUGCAAAAACUCCUAAGCUAGAGUUUGACAGAGGCAACUGGAAUUCCACAUGUAGGGGUAAAAUCCGUUGAUAUGUGGAGGAACACCAAAAGCGAAGGCAGGUUGCUGGGUCAUUACUGACACUGAGGAACGAAAGCGUGGGGAGCAAACAGGAUUAGAUA